rnacentral:sRNA from 1 species
AUGUGCCACGCAUACACUCCGAUCCUGAGCGCGCCGCCCGCACCUACCUGAUGACCGCUCGCUACAGGUUUGUUGGCC